rnacentral:rRNA from 1 species
UGGGGAAUUUUGGACAAUGGGCGAAAGCCUGAUCCAGCAAUGCCGCGUGUGUGAAGAAGGCCUUCGGGUUGUAAAGCACUUUUGUCCGGAAAGAAAUCCUUGGCUCUAAUACAGUCGGGGGAUGACGGUACCGGAAGAAUAAGCACCGGCUAACUACGUGCCAGCAGCCGCGGUAAUACGUAGGGUGCAAGCGUUAAUCGGAAUUACUGGGCGUAAAGCGUGCGCAGGCGGUUUGCUAAGACCGAUGUGAAAUCCCCGGGCUCAACCUGGGAACUGCAUUGGUGACUGGCAGGCUAGAGUAUGGCAGAGGGGGGUAGAAUUCCACGUGUAGCAGUGAAAUGCGUAGAGAUGUGGAGGAAUACCGAUGGCGAAGGCAGCCCCCUGGGCCAAUACUGACGCUCAUGCACGAAAGCGUGGGGAGCAAACAGGAUUAGAUACCCUGGUAGUCCACGCCCUAAACGAUGUCAACUAGUUGUUGGGGGUUCAUUUCCUUAGUAACGUAGCUAACGCGUGAAGUUGACCGCCUGGGGAGUACGGUCGCAAGAUUAAAACUUAAAUGAAUUGACGGGGUCAUAGCUGUUUCCU